rnacentral:rRNA from 1 species
CGGUGAAAUGCGUAGAGAUGUGGAGGAACACCAGUGGCGAAGGCGGCUUUUUGGCCUGUAACUGACGCUGAGGCGCGAAAGCGUGGGGAGCAAACAGGAUUAGAUACCCUGGUAGUCCACGCCGUAAACGAUGAGUGCUAGGUGUUGGGGGGUUCCACCCUCAGUGCUGACGUUAACACAUUAAGCACUCCGCCUGGGGAGUACGGCCGCAAGGCUGAAACUCAAAGGAAUUGACGGGGGCCCGCACAAGCAGUGGAGCAUGUGGUUUAAUUCGAAGCAACGCGAAGAACCUUACCAGGUCUUGACAUCCUCUGACCACUCUAGAGAUAGAGCUUUCCCCUUCGGGGGACAGAGUGACAGGUGGUGCAUGGUUGUCGUCAGCUCGUGUCGUGAGAUGUUGGGUUAAGUCCCGCAACGAGCGCAACCCUUGACCUUAGUUGCCAGCAUUCAGUUGGGCACUCUAAGGUGACUGCCGGUGACAAACCGGAGGAAGGUGGGGAUGACGUCAAAUCAUCAUGCCCCUUAUGACCUGGGCUACACACGUGCUACAAUGGGUGGUACAAAGGGUUGCAAAGCCGCGAGGCCGAGCCAAUCCCAAAAAGCCACUCUCAGUUCGGAUUGUAGGCUGCAACUCGCCUACAUGAAGCCGG